rnacentral:rRNA from 1 species
AUGCCCUCGCAGACGCAAACACAUGCCAUGGAUGUGGGGAUGCAGGCGGUGGACGCGGCACCGCCGGUGAACGUGGGGAAGCCGGAAGCAUAUGUGGUGACGCUGUCCGACAACGGCGCAGAGAACGCGGCCACAUAUGCAGUGACGUUGCCUGCCGUUGGUGGACACAAAGAAGCAGGGCACAACCCCUUACCUCUGUCCACCAUGCUCCUGACCGUUCCGGUGGCGCUACCUCCACCACCUUUCUCCCCGCAUCUAUCUCAUCGAAGGCAGACAAGGGUGCUUGAUACGAGAAGAUUGAGAUCGAUUUGGAUUUCUCGUAUAGAAGAAAGAAGCGCGUGCACCUUUUUCCCUUUGAUUUGGAGAUGUGUUCUUUUUGCGAGGAAAGGGAGGCGAUGCGCCCGUGGUGUUGCGGAAGGUUAUUUUGGUCGAGAGAAGUGUCUAGGGAGUAAUACACACCACAAACUGGAAUAUUCCUAA